AUUCCAGCUCCAAUAGCGUAUAUUAAAGUUGUUGCAGUUAAAAAGCUCGUAGUUGGAUUUCUGGUAGGAGCGACCGGUCCGCCCUGUUAAGGGUGUGUACUAGCGUUGUCUCUGGCCAUCCUUGGGGGAACUGCGCGGGGAGACUUGCGUUAGGGAACCCAUCGUUUACUGUGAAAAAAUUAGAGUGUUUAAAGCAGGCUUAUGCCGUUGAAUACAUUAGCAUGGAAUAAUAAGAUAGGACCGCGUGGUCGUCUUGUUGGUUUGCACCGCGAGGUAAUGAUUAAUAGGUACAGUUGGGGGUAUUCGUAUUUAAUUGUCAGAGGUGAAAUUCUUGGAUUUAUGAAAGACGAACUUCUGCGAAAGCAUUUACCAAGGAUGUUUUCAUUA
rnacentral:rRNA from 1 species